AAUAGUGUAGUAUAUUAGUACACUAGUUUUGUAAACUAGUAGUUAAUCUAUUU
rnacentral:tRNA from 1 species